ACAGCAUGGAGGGAUCUGGAGA
rnacentral:miRNA from 1 species